GCCAGAGUAGCUCAGCGGUAGAGCAGAGGACUCAUAAGCCUUUGGUCGGGGGUUCGAUUCCCUCCUCUGGCACCA
rnacentral:tRNA from 1 species